UUCUUCUGGUUUUUCAAUGCCUUGAAGCCAGAAACUAGUUCAUCUGCAUGUUUUUCCUAGGUGUAUUUGAUGCUUGCUAACAAUUUCUAGGUAAGUGAAUUAUAUUAAUUACCUAGAUAAUUACAGUUACAAUGGCCUCUAUCUCUGAAUAGACCUACGGUCUGAAUUUUGUGGUAGUUAUAAAUUUGCAUUUCUGUAAUCUACACAAUUCCAUUAUUAUUUUCUAAAACACAUUUUGUGAAUUAAAGAGUAAGCAAAAUGCAUUCCUUUCUUCCAAACUAUUACAGGUUGCCUAAUGCAAUCACUAAUGCAGGAUUAGUGAUAUAGGCAUCUCCUACACAUUUUAAUUUAGAUUUCAUCAAAAAAGUGCUUGUUUAUUACAGAAAUUAUUUUUAAACUUCCAAUUGAGUUAAUUUUAAUUUCGACUCAGUUAUUCAAGUAAGCUUAUAUGGAUCCAGAGACAUUAUUUUAAAAUAGCGUACUAUAAUCACUUCUAAAUUAUUUUUUAUUCUUUUGACAAAGAGUAUUGAUAAGUCAGCAAGUCAAUAUCAGUUAUUUCAAAAUACAAUUUCCAAGAAGGCGUGGAAGUUACCUUUGGAUCAUCAAAAUCUUUGGUAAAAAAUAAGGGGAAAAAAACCCUUUUUUGAUCUCUAUUAGAUCUGUGUAUCUACAUUUUGAGGAAGUUAUCUGGAAUGAGUUUCUACGUGUGGGUGCUGACUUACACCUAAGCCUAGUAACUUUGUUACUUCUGUAUGUACUUGUUCUAUCUUCUCAAUGUGGCCUAAUUAGCCUGAAAAUCUGUACCUUGUUUCCUCUAACCUCCAGGAGAUUGUUUAUGAUUCCCUACCUGUCAUAUGAUGUCUGUAUGUUAGUCUUAUAUAUUGACCCUAGGGCUAUUUUUGUUCACAGGACUUGCCCAACACCUAGUUUUGGCUUCUCUGAUUUGGUUUGACCCAAGCCCCACAUAGCAUCCUAUGCUAGCUUGACGAGCUGGUCAUUUGGCUGUUUUCCCCCAGAUCCAUUCAAGUUUUGCCCUUCCCAUUCUGGUCUGUACAGUACUGAUGAUUCCUGGCAACUCUAUUUCCUAGGCUCAUUUAUCUAUACCCAAAGGGAAUUAGGAAAGAUUAAAAAAUUGAAGUAAAAGCAUUCGAAGAAUAAGAGAAGAGCUGGGUAUGGUGGCCACCCCUGUAAUCCUAGCACUCCAGUCGCUGAGGUAAGAAGAUCGCUGUCUGGGGAGAUCAAGGCUAGCCUGGACUAUGGUGAGGCCAUUUCUCAAAAAAUUAAAAAAAAAAAAAAUAAGAGAAGAAACCAUAUUUUCUCAAACUGCACCCUGCUUUGAUUCAAGCAACUUUUCCACAAUAACUUCUCUGCAAUUGAAGCUCUAGAGCUCUGUUAAACCAGCUCUCCACUGUUGUUGCCUUCAGCCUAUAUAUAUAUAUAUAUAUAUAUAUAUAUAUAUAUGGUAGAAACUUCCUACUACUGAAGUAUCCUUCCUUCCUUUUGAUUUUUCAGUCCUUCACAUACCUUUGUAAAUUGUUCUUGAUGUUAAAUGCUUUCAACUGAACCCCCAAAGAAAGUUCUGAUAUUUCCUAGAAGUUCAUCUCACAGCAAUGCAUGGCAAGUUAUUAGGUAAAGAGCAAAAUAAUUGUCAUAAUUACUGAAGACUUUGUAGAGGUUUUCAAGCCUCAUAUCUCAAAAUGUUCAUUGCAGGUAUAAAAUAUUUGACAAAAAUUUCAUUGAAAAUAAUUCAAAGAGGAUAGUGUCAUUUAUAGCUUCUUUAAAGCCACUUCUGUUUAGUUCUUAUUUUCAUUCUUUAGCAACCUCAUGUCAAUAGGGACACCAUGGGGAAUUGAAUAGAAUGUAUGAAAAUGAUGCCCACGCAGAUUCCAAAAUAGUUCCAACUGGAUUUUCCUGCACAAAGCAAAGAAAGAUGUAAUCAUCAUCAGAGUAGAUUGAACCCAGAACCUUCACCCAUGCUGAGCACAUGAUGUACCAUGGAGCUACACCCACGGCCCUCUCCUUUUACUUUAUUCGUGUAUACAUGCAGGCAAUAAAGACAAGAUAACAAGUCACCUAAAUACUGAGAAUGAGAGGAGGAAUCAGAGUAACAGAACAUGGGAAGAAUUGGUAUCUUAGCUUCAACAGAAAACCCGUGAAAAUUAUUCCCCUGUGGGAGAUAAUAAAAGAGAGCCCUGUGCAUGUGUCAUGAUAGCCAUUAAUGCUUUGCAUAAGGGAGAGAACAAAGCAGCUAGAACUGCUUGAGAAGAAAGAAGGUACUGAUCUCCUUGUGGUUGGUGUAGUCCAGUUUCUACACAGCUGCACUGAGUAUACAGCUUGGCCAAAUGCUGCAUUGCAUGCUGGAGAAAAAUGAAUAACAGACUACAAUAAGCCCAGUGGGAAAAGAUGAACGAGACAGACACUGUGUUAGUGGUUGAUGCUAAAAAAAUAACCACACAGAUGAAAAGUACUUGCAAUCAUAAAAUGGAGGUGGUCAACUGUAGCUAAGGAGUAAGAGAAGCCUUCUCAUGGGAAAUACCGGUACUAAUCAUCAUCUUCAUAUUGAUUCUCACCAGCAAUUAUGUGAAGAUGAAAAAAUUAUAGAGUUUAUUGACAUUUUCAGUUUGCCCUAUGUAUAUGGCAAAAGUAUGUAUAUACAGAUAUGCACAUGUAUAUAUAUAUGUGUGUGAAAACUUGUACAUGUGUAUGCAUGUAUACAUGUAUAAAUAUAUACAAACAUAUAUAAGAAAUCCCGUGUUUUCUUUUGUGACUCUUGCUCCUGAUUCCCUAGCAUGAGUUCAAGUGCUUAAAUACUUAAAGUUUUUCUUAUAUAUUAUAUCAUAAAUGAUGAUUUCUUUAGCAUAAGCUGAAACUUGAAUCAGUAAGCAUUAUACAAUUAGGUAUUAUAUAACAACAUUUCAGUCAAUGUUGAACUGUAUGUCAGUGGCAUAUGGACAUACUAUUAUGAUGCUUGCCCAGUGACAAAAUUGCCUAAUGACAAUGUAUCACCAUGGUUAAGUGACAUACAUAGUCAUAUAUAUGAGUAAACCAGGUUCUGCUUAUCUUCAUUUCAUAUAUGCGUAUAUCUAUCUAUCUAUAUAUAUAUAUGACUUUUUAUCUUUUUAUUAAAUUCAGUACUACCUGCUUUUAUAA